AAGGCUCUCUUGACAACACAUGGACUUUCAUAGCUUGGGGGUUCACUUGCCCCUGGAAUCGGGCACGAAAGACAAGACUUUCUUGAGCACAAGGUCCCUCGGAACACACGAGGCUUGACCUUCUUAUCGUGUGCUUUCUUCACUCUCUGCUGAUAUAACUGACCAUGACACAUGGCAGUUAAUCUUUUCGUUCUUUCAGUCGAAUUCAGCAUUAGUCAACUUGGGACUUUGAGGGUGCUAUUUU
rnacentral:lncRNA from 1 species